AGCGUGCACAGCGCCACACUCAAGGAAGACAAGGCCCAAUUAUCCUGCAGGACCAGAAAAACGGAAAAGGGAAAAAAACGAAGACGCCCAUUCAUCGAUUGCCACCACGCACCUUCGCCGCGACGACUUGCCGAGACGCGGGUCGCUUUCAUUUUUUGUGUGUGGAGGGAGGGAAAGGGUUCGCUUUUGGUUGAAGCGGCGCCGUCUUGUUGCGGAGUGCUGCCGUCUUGCAACGCUCCCUACCUCCCCACUUCUCCCGCGCUUCGGCGCUUUCUUUUCUAUCCUUGUCGUUGGUGCACCGCCAACCCCUCUCACUCAUUUCGCUUGCAUCGUCACCAGAAUCGCACUCUUCGAAGCCGUAAUGUCCGCGGCAGCCUCCGCACCGCGGCAUCGCCGGUAUGUCGAUAUGACGCCCGAAAGGGAGCAGAAGAUUACUCAGCUUGUGCAGCUCAUGAAAGAGACCUAUGACCCGCUUCCGAAACAGCUGCAAAUCCUGCUGUAUUACUCGCCGACUUCAGAGGACGCGCCGACGCCGCACAACACCACGCGCAGCUACUGCUACUGCGCCCUCAUCUCUCGCCAGUGGGACGUGCAGAAGGCGUUUGAAGCCAUGAAAAAGAACGUGGCGUACCGCCUGCAGUGCCGCCUCGAUGAACGCAGUGAGCUGCCGUCGGCGGUUUCGAUCCGCGGGUGGGACGAGAUGGAGGUGGUGCGUGCGCUGGGCAAGGAGGAGCGGGCAAGUAAUCAGCGCGCCGAUGAGAUCAUCGCCAAGCUCGAGCGAUACUUCCCAUGUGGUCUUCACUACUGGGACAGGUACGGACAGCCUGUCUUCUACCUCAUGCUGGGCAGCGUUGACGAAGAAAACCUACUGAAGGAGCUGAAGCAGACCACGGAUGUAGGUGAGUCCAUGGACGCUGUCAUGUGGGAGAUGCUGCAGCACCUGUUGGGUUCGGGUGAGUGGCUUGCGUACUACCAGCAAAUGCAGUACGAUGCGGGUCAGCUCAAGGUGGACGCCUCCGAAGGGCUCAUCCGAGCAACCACGAUCGUAGUUGACCUGCUGGGGUUCACGUACAAGAUGAUCUGGAAGCCGGCGAUUGAUCUCUUCGUCACCUGUCUCAAGACACUGUUCGCCCACUACCCCGAGUGCGUGCACCACAUUCUCGUGGUGAAUGCGCCGUCGAUGGUAACGUUCGCCUAUGGCAUCAUUCGCCACGUUCUUCCUGGCACGGUGCAGGCAAAGGUUCGCAUGGCUAAACCGAGUGAAUCGCUGGCGCUUCUGCAGGAGCACAUCGAGGAGCAGUACGUGCCAGACUUUUACGGCGGCGCGUGUCACUGCCAGGGUGGCUGCGUGCGUUCGUACAGGCCGAAGAACGCCGCUAGCGGCACCACCACCUUUGACCAGGACGAUACCCAGAGCGCCGCGGAGUAGAUCCCGAUGGAAGGCGGUGCCGUCACCGAGGAUAUCUCGCUGAGGGAUGGCGCCACACGCAAGGUAUUUUCCCUGCUCCCGAGCGAGUCCGUUGCGCGAAGCGUUGCAUCGUCGAGUGGGCACGAUCCCGUCUUGGCGGGCCUCCGUCAUCCCUCAUGCGCAGGCGCAAGGCGUCGACAUGGACAAGGUGGAUGUGCGCUCAUCGAAACCGUACGUGGCUUCCAAGUUAAAACCGUUCGAGAACUUGAGUGAGUACGCCGCUACAGCGGAGGGUGUGAUGGUCCGGGUGUGGGGCAAAAAGAAGUCCUGGGUGAUGUCGAAGCACCUUCAGAUGAAGGCCUUCAAGCAGCACGCACAGCUGCUCCAUAAACAGUGUGUAAAGAAGUGAUUCCGUAUGCAGCCGUUUUUUCGGCGACGGAGGCGACAACGAAGCGGCAGCGUUUAGCGCGAGUGCGCCACACGCAAAGACCGCCAGCGACACCGUAACGAAGAGGAGGAGGCGCUCUAUAUUGUACGACUGCUACAGGGGGUCCGCGCCGUAUGCGGUGUCGAGGCACCCAGCGGAAGUGAAAGGCCCCUAUCGCUUCCUUUCUUUUUGUGUUCUUUUCUUUCUUUUCCUCAUUGGCUUCUCUCUCUCACUGCUUUUAUCCUCCAGUGCCGCUGCUCCGCCUCCGCAGUGUUCAUCCUCCCUUUUUUCUGUGUGUACAUGUGCGUGCGUGCGCGCGUACGCGCGUGUGUGUCUUCGUACCUCUGCUUCGCUUAUGUUUUCGAGGGAGAAUGUGGGUAUGUCUGCGGUGUCUCCUCCGCUGUGGUUUUUUUUUUGUUUGGUUGGUUGGUUUGUGCGUUCCUGUCCCGAUAUGAGCGGGUGGGCGCAUCGGGGUCUGUGCCGAGCCGCUGCGUGUGGCAGGUACAUCUGACUCCUCUCCCACGUGUGUGCGCCUGCGCAUGCGAAGGGGUGUUUCGUCUCUCCUUGGAUUGAUUGGAAGUGCGUGUUCAUGUGCACAGAUACCCGUAGACUCGGCACACACGGAC
rnacentral:misc_RNA from 1 species